rnacentral:rRNA from 1 species
GAUGAACGCUAGCGGCAGGCCUAAUACAUGCAAGACGAACGGUAAGUUGAGUAGCAAUACUUAGCCAAGAGUGUCGUACGGGUGCGUAACACGUAUGCAACCUACCCUAUACAGGAGGAUAGCCUAGGGAAACCUGGAUUAACCCUUCAUAGUAUUAUUGGAUGGCAUCAUUUGAUAAUUAAAACUGAGGUGGUAUAGGAUGGGCAUGCGUCUGAUUAGUUAGUUGGCGGGGUAAUGGCCCACCAAGACGAUGAUCAGUAGGGGUUCUGAGAGGAAGAUCCCCCACACUGGCACUGAGAUACGGGCCAGACUCCUACGGGAGGCAGCAGUAGGGAAUAUUGGUCAAUGGAUGCAAGUCUGAACCAGCCAUGCCGCGUGCAGGAAGAAGGCCUUCUGGGGUUGUAAACUGCUUUUGCCAGGGGGAUAAAAUUUCCAUGCGUGGAAAACUGAAGGUACCUGGUGAAUAAGCCACGGCUAACUACGUGCCAGCAG